rnacentral:tRNA from 1 species
GACCCAGUAGUCCAGUAUGGAUAGGGCGCUGGCUUGCGGAGCCAGAUAUCGAGGGUUCAAAUCCCCCCUGGGUCACCA